UGCCCCUUGGCUGAGUUGGUUACAGCGUCCGACUGUUAAGUAUUAUGUAAUUAUAUGCUUACGUAAUCGGAAGGUCGUGAGUUCGACCCUCACAGGGGCAG
rnacentral:tRNA from 1 species